UACGAAGGGGGCUAGCGUUGCUCGGAAUUACUGGGCGUAAAGGGAGCGUAGGCGGACAGUUUAGUCAGAGGUGAAAGCCCAGGGCUCAACCCUGGAAUUGCCUUUGAUACUGAUUGUCUUGAGUAUGGGAGAGGUGUGUGGAACUCCGAGUGUAGAGGUGAAAUUCGUAGAUAUUCGGAAGAACACCAGUGGCGAAGGCGACACACUGGGCCCAUUACUGACCGCUGAGGCUCGAAAGCGUGGGGAGCAAACGGG
rnacentral:rRNA from 1 species